rnacentral:lncRNA from 1 species
GCAGGAACUCUCCUUCCCAACAAAGGCAGCCAUCAUUUUACAUUCCCUUGUGCUCCUCGAAUUGGGAACACUAUAGGCUGUGAGAAUCCAGGCCAGGCUGACCGGCAGUACCUCCCCUCCACCAAGAUCCCACGGAGAUUUACCCGUAAUCACAUGAUCUAUCCCUCUGACUAGGCUGGCAGCUGGGGCUAAGCAGUGGGGACAGCGCAGAAGGGGCAAGUUUUGCAUUCACUUGGCACCAGAGAGCCACGGACAGUAAAUUCAGUGUUAACUACUCCAUCUGGAAUUGAACCAAGAGCUUCCCUCUGCUCCAGUGCAAAGGCCUGAAGGGGUGAUGCUGAUUUCCUGUCGACCCGUGGGGGUCCCAGGACUCAGCCAGUGCUCUGGGAAGGCUGCCCCUGCAGCUUCCAGGAAGGUACCUCUUAUAGCAUCCCCACUGCCUCUCUGUGACCCGCUGUUUGGGGGCAGGCUGAAUCAUUUUUAUCAUUUAAUAGGUGGGUGGGAAACUUUUGAAUGACUCAGUAGGUACCAUUUUACAUUCAAACUUGCCGUUACAGGUUGUUUCAAUGGUGGCCAUUGGAAACAUUCAGGGCUUCAUAUUUCUUGAUGCAGAUUAGCGAUGCCUCAUACAAAGACCGUGCAUUCACGUGGCCAGCCAUCAGACUAAGGGGCUGAGGGGCCUCAGGAGGUGCUGGCACCAAUUCAGAACCCAGGGGAAGAGGAGAAAGGGCUACACAGUGCCCGCUCCCUGAGCCUUCCUGGGUGGAAAUGGCUCCAGGCUUCAAAAGGUUUUCUUUUUCAUCCAGUCUCCCAGGGGGACCCCCCCUCAUAAUACCUCUUACCCCCAGACUUCUGGUCUGCAUGACUUUGGGCUCUGAGCUCAGGCCUGGGAAGCAAAAACUCACUUCAAGGUUUACAGCUCUGUUUGCCUUUUGGCCUUGUGUGUCCUGGGCCAGCAGCUCUGUCACACGGAGCCCAUUCCUGGGGCUUUAUCUCAGUGCAAUUCCAAAGCCGCAGCCCCACAAGGGGCAGUGCAUGUAGAGCCUUUGAGUAGUCUGUGUGCGAACUUUGUUUGCGACUUCUUGGCUCCUGCUCUGGGAAGCGAAAUGAAAAAUACUAGAGGUGGCAAGUCUCAAGAAUCAAGUACUCCUGCUUGGACUGAUCAUUUAUUUAAGAACAAAUACUUACUACAUUACAUUUAUGUAAACAUUAAGUGCUUACUGUAUACCUAGCACUAUUCUGGGCAUUGUCAAGUCAGGACCCUGAAGAAACAGAGGAAGUGUCCCCUGCCAUUCAGAGACCUAAUAGUCUCUUUGUAGAAACCCUUCAGAAGCAAUGAUGUAACAGACCAGAAAAUGUAACAGACCUUUCAGUGCUCCUCCCUGCUGAUGGAUGGGGGAGAGGGUGGAAGUCCUAUUUCAUGCAUGAGAAGCAAUACUCUUCUGAUUCAUUAAGCUCCUCUCUCCUCGGGGUCAGUAAACCCACUUCUCCUAAACUGCUAGAGCCGCCUUCUCUCUGCCUUAAGCCCCCAUGUGUAUUUAGGGAAAUUUAGCUGAACAAUUCUGAAUAAUGUGUGGUGUGCUCAUCAAAAAGAAAUUAAGUAGCUUUGUAAGAAGCCAAGUACAUUUUCAGGAAUCUACUUAAGUUUCUCAUAAACUUGUUGCAAAAAUACACUUAAACCCAAACUAAGUGAGUACAGGUCAGAACUCAACCAAGCAAAGUUCAAGUAUAUUAUAAACCUGGCAAAUAGCAUUCUGAUAUUCUGUAUAUAAAGAUGAUUUUUUUUUACUUAUUGGUCAGUGCAUUUUACUUCUAUGAUUGCUACUUUUGGGGGGAAAGAUGGGGAAAGAAAGAGAAAUACAGGCAUCUGCAACUGGUAUUUGAAACAGGAAGCAUCCUAAUUAAGAGAAAAUAUCUACAUUAAGAUAAAUGUGUUAUCAAUGCUAAAGUGGCUCUGAGCUCUGAUAUAUUUGAUUUAUUUAUCUUAAUCCAACCAUUCCUAUUGGUCUAGUUGAUUUUCCUUUAAAAAUGUCUGUUACUAUUCCAAGCAGCAGUGAUGUCGUGACCUAAAGUUUUCAAUGAAACGUUUCAGGUAUUCAUCUCAAAAAUGCCAAAGAGAUUCUGGAACGUUUCCUAUUGGGAAAAAUAAAUGUAAAGACCAAACAGAAUGAAUGCAAGUCUCCAACUAGCAGGGUGACCUUAGGCAAGUCUGCCUGCCUCCUCUAGCCUUAGUCUCCUUACUUAUAGCCCAAGGAAGGUGCAUUUCACAGUGUCUCUCAGAUCUUCAUCAACAGCCUUGAACUAGAGGGGGUUCUCUUUGCCACCCAUCCAGGACAAGUUGUCUCUGUCCACAUGAACUUUGUCUUCAUUAUUCAACCACUGUUCAUUGAGCACCUACUGUGGCCCAGGCUGGAUGCUUAGGCAUGGAGGGUACUUUCAGCCCAGUAGAGGACACUGAAAGUUGUGAGAUAAUGGAGAAAGCACACUGAUGAAAAGGCUUCUGGAAUGCUCCAAGAGAGCAUUCAACCAAGACUUCAGAAGGGAAUUGGCUCUGAGUACACAGAGGAGAGGAAGAAGGAAGAGGGGGAAACGGGAGGGAAAGAGAGGGGUGAGGGGUAUCCAGGUGAGGGGCUCAAGCAGAGCAAAUGGCAGGUGGAAGGAUGCUGCCUGGCAAGCACGUGGCACAUUUGAGAGUCUUCAUAGGCAGAGACUGGGUCUGGAUGGGCCCUUUAUGCCACACAAGGAGUUUGAGUUUAUUCGUAAAAAUAGUGAGGAGCCACUGAAGUGGGUAAGCAAAAGGAGGAGCAUAUGAAAACAGUGUCUUCAGAAGACCACUCUUGCAGUAGGUUGGAAUUUCAAUGAGGGUCGGGGGAUGCAGGCAAGACUGGAGGAGGUGAUCAGGGAACCAGUGAGAGGCUGUUGUAAUCCAGCUGACAAAGUUAGCCAGUUACCUAACAUAGGUCAAUGCCAGUAGUCAAAUACAGAAGAGGACAGGGUUGAAAAAUACCCAGGAGGUAGAAUCUUAAAGAGCUAGUAAUAGAUCAUUGAAAGUUGUAAUUGUUCUCCUACACUAUGGAUAGUAUUUUUCAAGCCAUUGAGAAAUGCUAAAUAAUUGUCCAUCAUAUCCUCUCUGCUAGCCUGCAAGCUUGUGAGGUGAGAAGGGACAAUGUCUGUGCCUUUCUUGUCCACCAUUACACCUCUAGGAAUUAGAAUAAUGCCUGAAACAUAAGUGGAUUAAAAACUCAUCCCGGAGUUCCCAUUGUGGCGCAGUGGUUAACGAAUCCGACUAGGAACCAUGAGGUUGCGGGUUCAGUCCCUGCCCUUGCUCAGUGGUGGGUUAACGAUCCGGCGUUGCCGUGAGCUGUGGUGUAGGUUGCAGAGGCGGCUCGGAUCCCGAGUUGCUGUGGCUCUGGUGUAGGCCGGUGGCUACAGCUCCAAUUGGACCCCUAGCCUGGGAACCUCCGUAUGCCGCGGGAGCGGCCCAAGAAAUAGCAACAACAACAACAAAAAAAAGACAAAAGACCGAAAAAAAAAAAAAAA